GAAAAAAAAAGAAGGUCCGAGCAAUCUCAGAUAUAUGAGAGGCCAAGAUGGGAAGAUCACUUGGGUAAGACUGGGAAGAUUGAGUCUGCAGUGAGUCACAGUCGCAUCAUUCUGCUGGAUUUGAAUGGUACUGCUUCUGGCCCAAGUUGUCUGGGCAACCUUAGACAUGGCUGGAAACACUCUUUUUGUAGAACAUACAAAUGGACAUUUCUAAGCACAUUGAGGCCUAUAAUGAAAAAUCAAAUAUCCCACAAUGAAAACUAGAAGGAAGCUAUCUGUGAUAAUGCUUUGUGGUGUAUGGAUUCAUCUCACUGACUGAAACCUGAGUUUUGAUUCACCAGGUUGGAAACUCUUUCUGCAGAAUCUGCAAAGAAAUAUUUCUGAGCCCAUUGAGGCCUACAGUGGAAAACUGAAUAUUCUGUGAUAAAACUAGAAACACCCUAUCUGUGAAAAUGCUUUGUGAUGUGUGGAUUUUUCUCAUCGAAUGGAACCUCUGUUUUGACUCACAAGGGUGAAACACUAUUUUAGUAGAAUCUAGGAAGAAACAUAUCUGAGCCCAUUUAUGCCUACAGUGAGAAACUGAAUACCCUGCAAUAAAAAGUAGACAGAAGCUAUUUGUAAAAAUGCUUUGUGAUGUGUGGAUUCAGUGUUAAACUUUUAUUUUGAUUCCACAGUUUUGACACCCUAUUUGUAGAAUAUAUGAAUGAACAUUUCUCAGCCCAUUGAGGCCUAUCAUGUGAAACCAAAUAUUUUAUAAUAAAAACUGGAAACAAGUG
rnacentral:lncRNA from 1 species